rnacentral:rRNA from 1 species
GGGCCCGCACAAGCAGUGGAGCAUGUGGUUUAAUUCGAUGCAACGCGAAGAACCUUACCAGGCCUUGACAUCCUCGGAACUUUCUAGAGAUAGAUUGGUGCCUUCGGGAACCGAGUGACAGGUGCUGCAUGGCUGUCGUCAGCUCGUGUUGUGAAAUGUUGGGUUAAGUCCCGCAACGAGCGCAACCCUUAUCCUUGUUUGCCAGCACGUAAUGGUGGGAACUCCAGGGAGACUGCCGGUGAUAAACCGGAGGAAGGUGUGGAUGACGUCAAGUCAUCACUGCCCCUUACCAUCCUGGGCUACACACGUACUACAAUGGCUAGGACAGACGGCCGCAAACCCGCGAGGGGGAGCCAAUCCGACAAACCUAGUCGUAGUCCGGAUCGGAGUCUGCAACUCGACUCCGUGAAGUCGGAAUUGCUAGUAAUCG